GACGAACGCUGGCGGCGUGCCUAACACAUGCAAGUCGCACGGGACCCGCAAGGGUUCAGUGGCGGACGGGUGCGUAACACGUGAGGAACAUGCCUAUCGGCGGGGGAUAGCCGGCCCAACGGCCGGGUAAUACCGCGUACGCUCACUGGGGGGCAUCCCCUGGUGAGGAAAGCAGCAAUGCACCGAUAGAGUGCCUCGCGGCCUAUCAGCUAGUUGGUGAGGUAAUGGCUCACCAAGGCUACGACGGGUAGCUGGUCUGAGAGGAUGAUCAGCCACAUUGGGACUGAGACACGGUCCAGACUCCUACGGGAGGCAGCAGUGGGGAAUCUUGCGCAAUGGCCGAAAGGCUGACGCAGCGACGCCGCGUGUGGGAUGACGGCCUCGGUUGUAA
rnacentral:rRNA from 1 species